AUGGCAGAUGAUAUAGAUGAUAUACUUUUGUAUUUUGGAAAAUUAAAAAUGUGCUCCAAUAAAGGAGCAUAUUAUUAGUUUUCCAUACACAAAUUAUUAUUCCCGACAUAAAAAUUCAUACAGAUUGUAUCUGAAUGUUGAUUUUACCAUGUGAAAAAUGUACAAAUUGUACCAUCAGAAUUGUGAGGCAGAAGAUGCAUCCAUUGCACCCUAUACGCUUUUUGCUAUUGCUGAACCAAUCAAGGACAUGGUAUCAUUAUUUCUAUUCAUUCCACCUGUUUACAAGUUUCUCAACAACUUUGUCAACAGCAACCUUCGCACAGCCAACAACAGAUGAUGAUGACAUUGUUUACAAGUAAUGAUUAUUAUUAUAGUUGGUCUUGGUUAUCAUUCUAUGAAUAAAAAUAAAAAAAUUGAAAAUAAUCUCAAUAUUUUUGAAUUCUAUUGAUUUAUGUCAUUGCAGAGGAAAGUGA
rnacentral:lncRNA from 1 species